AACAAACGCUGGCGGCGUGCCUAACACAUGCAAGUCGUACGAGAAAGUUGGCUUCGGCCAAUGAGUAAAGUGGCGCACGGGUGAGUAACGCGUGGAUAAUCUGCCCCUCAGUUGGGAAUAACUCAUCGAAAGGUGAGCUAAUACCGAAUAACACUACUUGGCCUUGGCCAGGCAGUCAAAGAGAGCCUCUGCUUGCAAGCCCUCGCUGAAGGAUGAGUCCGCGUACCAUUAGCUAGUUGGUAGGGUAAUGGCCUACCAAGGCGACGAUGGUUAGCUGGUCUGAGAGGAUGAUCAGCCACACUGGAACUGAGACACGGUCCAGACUCCUACGGGAGGCAG
rnacentral:rRNA from 1 species